AUACGUAGGGGGCGAGCGUUGUCCGGAAUUACUGGGCGUAAAGGGCGCGCAGGCGGAUAUUUAAGUCAGCUGUAAAAGGCAUGAGCUCAACUCAUGUAUGCGGUUGAAACUGGGUAUCUAGAGUGCUGGAGAGGUAGGCGGAAUUCCCGGUGUAGCGGGGAAAUGCGUAGAUAUAGGGAAGAACACCAGUGGCGAAGGCGGCUUACUGGCCAGCAACUGACGCUGAGGCGCGAAAGCCAGGGGAGCGAACGGGAUUAGAUACCCCGGUAGUCCUGGCCGUAAACGAUGAAUGCCAGGUGUGGGUGUCGAGAGGCAUCCGUGCCGGAGUUAACGCGAUAAGCAUUCCGCCUGGGGAGUACGAUCGCAAGAUUGAAACUUAAAGGAAUUGACGGGG
rnacentral:rRNA from 1 species